rnacentral:ncRNA from 1 species
CCGAAGCUGUGGAUGAUACCUUUAGGUAUCAUGGUAGGAGAGCGUUCUAAGGGCGUUGAAGGCAGAUCGUGAGGACUGCUGGAGCGCUUAGAAGUGAGAAUGCCGGUAUGAGUAGCGAAAGACAGGUGAGAAUCCUGUCCACCGAAUGACUAAGGUUUCCUGGGGAAGGCUCGUCCGCCCAGGGUUAGUCGGGACCUAAGCCGAGGCCGACAGGCGUAGGCGAUGGACAACAGGUUGAUAUUCCUGUACCCGUUGUUUUUGUUUGAGCAAUGGAGGGACGCAGGAGGCUAAGGAAUGCAGACGAUCGGAAAUGUCUGUCCAAGCAGCAAGUCUUAAGAGGAGUCAAAUGCUUCUUUUUUCAAGGACAAGCUGUGAUGGGGAGGGAAAUAAUAGUACCGAAGUUCCUGAUGUCACACUGCCGAGAAAAGCUUCUAGUGAGAAAACAACGGCCCGUACCGCAAACCGACACAGGUAGUCGAGGAGAGAAUCCUAAGGUGAGCGAGAGAACUCUCGUUAAGGAACUCGGCAAAAUGACCCCGUAACUUCGGGAGAAGGGGUGCUGAUCUU